AAUCAUACCACAUCUUAUUAUGGAAAAUCAUACCACAUCUCAUUAUGGAAAAUCAAGCCAAGUCUCCUUCGUGACAAUCAUACCACAUCUUCUGAUUGACAAUCAUACCACAUCUUCUGAUUGACAAUCAUAACACAUCUUCUGAUUGACAACCAUACCACAUCUUCUGAUUGACAACCAUACCACAUAUUCUGAUUGACAAUCAUGCCACAUCUUCUGAGUGACAAUCAUGCCACAUCUUCUGAUUGACAAUCAUACCACAUCUUCUGAUUGACAAUCAUACCACAUCUUCUGAUUGACAACCAUACCACAUCUUCUGAUUGACAACCAUACUACAUCUUCUGAUUGACAACCAAACCACAUCUUCUGAUUGACAAUCAUGCCACAUUUUCUGAUUGACUAUCAUGCCACAUCUUCUGAUUGACAAUCAUGCCACAUCUUCUGAUUGACAAUCAUACCACGUCUUCUGAUUGACAAUCAUGCCACU
rnacentral:lncRNA from 1 species